rnacentral:rRNA from 1 species
GUCCAGACUCCUACGGGAGGCAGCAGUGAGGAAUAUUGGUCAAUGGGCUAAGGCCUGAACCAGCCAAGUCGCGUGAGGGAAGACGGUCCUAUGGAUUGUAAACCUCUUUUGUCGGGGAGCAACGAGGCCACGUGUGGCCGAAGUGAGAGUACCCGAAGAAAAAGCAUCGGCUAACUCCGUGCCAGCAGCCGCGGUAAUACGGAGGAUGCGAGCGUUAUCCGGAUUUAUUGGGUUUAAAGGGUGCGCAGGCGGAGGCACAAGUCAGCGGUAAAAUCGCGGGGCUCAACCCCGCUCCGCCGUUGAAACUGUGUCCCUUGAGUGCGCGAAGGGUAGGCGGAAUGCGUGGUGUAGCGGUGAAAUGCAUAGAUAUCACGCAGAACUCCGAUCGCGAAGGCAGCCUACCGGCGCGCAACUGACGCUCAUGCACGAAAGCGUGGGUAUCGAACAGGAUUAGAUACCCUCGUA